rnacentral:rRNA from 1 species
CCUACGGGCGGCAGCAGUGGGGAAUAUUGGACAAUGGGGGAAACCCUGAUCCAGCGACGCCGCGUGAGUGAAGAAGUAUUUCGGUACGUAAAGCUCUAUCAGCAGGAAAGAAAAUGACGGUACCUGACUAAGAAGCCACGGCUAACUACGUGCCAGCAGCCGCGGUAAUACGGAGGGGGCAAGCGUUAUCCGGAUUUACUGGGUGUAAAGGGAGCGUAGACGGCAGAGCAAGUCUGGAGGGAAAUGCCGGGGCCCAACCCCGGAACUGCCCUGGAAACUGUUAAGCUGGAGUGCAGGAGAGGUAGGCGGAAUUCCUGGUGUAGCGGUGAAAUGCUUAGAUAUCAUGCAGAACACCGACGGCGAAGGCAGCUUACCGGACUGUAACUGACGUUGAGGCACGAAGGCGUGGGGAGCAAACAGGAUUAGAUACCCGGGUAGUC